UACGUAGGGUGCAAACGUUGUCCGGAAUCAUUGGGCGUAAAGAGCUCGUAGGCGGCUCGGUAAGUCGGGUGUGAAACCCCCAGGCUCAACCUGGGGACGCCACCCGAUACUGCUGUGGCUAGAGUCCAGUAGGGGAGUGUGGAAUUCCCGGUGUAGCGGUGAAAUGCGUAGAGAUCAGGAAGAACACCGGUGGCGAAAGCGCUCUGCUAGGCCGCAACUGACACUGAGGGACGAAAGCUAGGGGAGCAAAUGGG
rnacentral:rRNA from 1 species